ensembl:miRNA
GUGGGUGGAAUAGUAUAACAAUAUGCUAAAUGUUGUUAUAGUAUCCCACCUACCC